rnacentral:rRNA from 1 species
AUUGAACGCUGGCGGCAUGCCUUACACAUGCAAGUCGAACGGCAGCACGGGAGCAAUCCUGGUGGCGAGUGGCGAACGGGUGAGUAAUAUAUCGGAACGUGCCCAGUCGUGGGGGAUAACGCAGCGAAGGCUGUGCUAAUACCGCAUACGAUCUAAGGAUGAAAGCGGGGGAUCGCAAGACCUCGCGCGAUUGGAGCGGCCGAUAUCAGAUUAGCUAGUUGGUGGGGUAAAGGCCCACCAAGGCGACGAUCUGUAGCUGGUCUGAGAGGACGACCAGCCACAGUGGAACCGAGACACGGGCCAGACUCCUACGGGAGGCAGCAGUGGGGAAUUUUGGACAAUGGGCGCAAGCCUGAUCCAGCAAUGCCGCGUGCAGGAUGAAGGCCUUCGGGUUGUAAACUGCUUUUGUACGGAACGAAACGGCCCUUUCUAAUACAGGGGGCUAAUGACGGUACCGUAAGAAUAAGCACCGGCUAACUACGUGCCAGCCGCCGCAGUAACAC